GGAUGCAUGGUGGUAGCCAUCUCACGAGGAAGCAAAGUUAAGAGUUUACCAGGUUACGGUGAUCUCCCUUUCACACUUGAAACUGGAUACAUUGGUGCAGGGGAGAAAGAGGAGGUGCAGCUUUUCUACUACUUUGUUAAGUCUGAAAAUAAGCCCAAGGAAGAUCCUGUUGUCCUCUGGAUCAAUGGAGGCCCUGGUUGCUCUAGUCUUGGGGCUUUUUUCUUUGAAAAUGGUCCAUUAUCAAUAGACAUUGACAACUACAAAGAAGGCUUACCCACACUUCUUCUAAAUGAACAUUCAUGGACAAAGGGCCUUAAUAUAAUAUUUUUAGAUGCACCUAUUGGGACUGGAUUCUCUUACUCAAAAACCACACAAGGUUACAAUACAAGUGACUCUAAGUCUGCAGCAAAUACUCAUGAAUUUAUACAGAAGUGGUUUAAGGAACAUCCUUCAUUUUUGGAGAAUCCACUCUACCUUUCUGGUGAAGGCUAUUCUGGAAAACACAUCCCAGUAGUAAUACAAAAGAUUUUAACCAGUAAUGAAGCUGGAAUUAAGCCUAUCAUCAAUGUUAAGGGUUAUGCAAUGGGAAACCCUGGAACAGAUUCAGUUAUUGAUUCCAAUUCAAGGAUUCCUAUAGCUCACCG
rnacentral:misc_RNA from 1 species